ACAAUUAUACAUAUAUACUCAUACAUAUACAUAUAUGAAAAUUUAAGCAUAUAUGUUUAUAAAUCUUUAGCGCUAACUGGCAAACAGAAUUCCAAUCAUAAAUUAACGUAAUAAAAAAAAAGAAAGAAAGAAAGGAAAAUUGCGGCGCUUGACUUUUCCAACGAAUUUU